AUUGAACGCUGGCGGCAUGCCUUACACAUGCAAGUCGAACGGUAACGCGGGGCAACCUGGCGACGAGUGGCGAACGGGUGAGUAAUGCAUCGGAACGUGCCCAGUAGUGGGGGAUAGCUCGACGAAAGUCGAAUUAAUACCGCAUACGACCUAAGGGUGAAAGGGGGGGAUCGCAAGACCUCUCGCUAUUGGAGCGGCCGAUGUCAGAUUAGGUAGUUGGUAGGGUAAAAGCCUACCAAGCCUAUGAUCUGUAGCUGGUCUGAGAGGACGACCAGCCACACUGGGACUGAGACACGGCCCAGACUCCUACGGGAGGCAGCAGUGGGGAAUUUUGGACAAUGGGCGCAAGCCUGAUCCAGCCAUGCCGCGUGCGGGAAGAAGGCC
rnacentral:rRNA from 1 species